rnacentral:pre_miRNA from 1 species
GGCUUCUUUACAGUGCUGCCUUGUGGCUUGAGAAUCAAGCAGCAUUGUACAGGGCUAUGA